rnacentral:tRNA from 1 species
GUCUGAGAAGCGAUAGUCGCGCUAAGUUUCGGCCUUAGUCUAGAAAUGAUAUUUCCUUAGAUU